GUGGGGAAUAUUGGACAAUGGGCGAAAGCCUGAUCUAGCCAUGCCGCGUGUGUGAAGAAGGCCUUCGGGUUGUAAAGCACUUUAAGCGAGGAGGAAAGGUUGAAGGUUAAUACCCUUUAGCUGUGACGUUACUCGCAGAAUAAGCACCGGCAAACUUCGUGCCAGCAGCCGCGGUAAUACGAAGGGUGCAAGCGUUAAUCGGAAUUACUGGGCGUAAAGCGCGCGUAGGUGGUUAAGUAAGCGAUCUGUGAAAGCCCCGGGCUCAACCUGGGAAUUGCAGGUCGAACUGCUUGGCUAGAGUAUGGUAGAGGGGUGUGGAAUUCCAGGUGUAGCGGUGAAAUGCGUAGAUAUCUGGAGGAACAUCAGUGGCGAAGGCGACACCCUGGACCGAUACUGACACUGAGGCACGAAAGCGUGGGGAGCAAACAGGAUUAGAAACCCGAGUAGUCC
rnacentral:rRNA from 1 species